GCUUAACACAUGCAAGUCGAGCGGGGAAGGGUAGCUUGCUACCUAACCUAGCGGCGGACGGGUGAGUAAUGCUUAGGAAUCUGCCUAUUAGUGGGGGACAACAUUCCGAAAGGAAUGCUAAUACCGCAUACGCCCUACGGGGGAAAGCAGGGGAUCUUCGGACCUUGCGCUAAUAGAUGAGCCUAAGUCAGAUUAGCUAGUUGGUGGGGUAAAGGCCUACCAAGGCGACGAUCUGUAGCGGGUCUGAGAGGAUGAUCCGCCACACUGGGACUGAGACACGGCCCAGACUCCUACGGGAGGCAGCAGUGGGGAAUAUUGGACAAUGGCGAAAGCCUGAUCCAGCCAUGCCGCGUGUGUGAAGAAGGCCUUUUGGUUGUAAAGCACUUUAAGCGAGGAGGAGGCUACUUAGAUUAAUACUCUAGGAUAGUGGACGUUACUCGCAGAAUAAGCACCGGCUAACUCUGUGCCAGCAGCCGCGGUAAUACAGAGGGUGCGAGCGUUAAUCGGAUUUACUGGGCGUAAAGCGUGCGUAGGCGGCUUCUUAAGUCGGAUGUGAAAUCCCUGAGCUUAACUUAGGAAUUGCAUUCGAUACUGGGAAGCUAGAGUAUGGGAGAGGAUGGUAGAAUUCCAGGUGUAGCGGUGAAAUGCGUAGAGAUCUGGAGGAAUACCGAUGGCGAAGGCAGCCAUCUGGCCUAAUACUGACGCUGAGGUACGAAAGCAUGGGGAGCAAACAGGAUUAGAUACCCUGGUAGUCCAUGCCGUAAACGAUGUCUACUAGCCGUUGGGGCCUUUGAGGCUUUAGUGGCGCAGCUAACGCGAUAAGUAGACCGCCUGGGGAGUACGGUCGCAAGACUAAAACUCAAAGGAAUUGACGG
rnacentral:rRNA from 1 species